UCUGAACCCGCGGAUGCGACCCUCAGCCGCGCUCCCUGGCGCACCUUCCCCGGUGCCAGGUGGCGGCGGAUGGGGAUCGGAUCCGGGGGCGCGGACCAU
rfam:Micrococcales bacterium 72-143 scnpilot_expt_750_bf_scaffold_24, whole genome shotgun sequence.